ACCAUCAGCACUUUGGCGAUGUAUGGGAUCAGCGGCAGGUUCAACACCAACAGCACCAAGUUCCCGAUGAACAUCGACAUGAUCACGGCCCAAAACACCUGUGGCUCAUCCACCAUCAGACGCGGGCC
rnacentral:ncRNA from 1 species